GACGAACGCUGGUGGCGUGCUUAACACAUGCAAGUCGAACGGAAAGGCCCUGCUUUUGUGGGGUGCUCGAGUGGCGAACGGGUGAGUAACACGUGAGUAACCUGCCCUUGACUUUGGGAUAAUUUCAGGAAACUGGGGCUAAUACCGGAUAGGAGCUCCUGCUGCAUGGUGGGGGUUGGAAAGUUUCGGCGGUUGGGGAUGGACUCGCGGCUUAUCAGCUUGUUGGUGGGGUAGUGGCUUACCAAGGCUUUGACGGGUAGCCGGCCUGAGAGGGUGACCGGCCACAUUGGGACUGAGAUACGGCCCAGACUCCUACGGGAGGCAGCAGUGGGGAAUAUUGCACAAUGGGCGGAAGCCUGAUGCAGCAACGCCGCGUGCGGGAUGACGGCCUUCGGGUUGUAAACCGCUUUCGCCUGUGACGAAGCGUGAGUGACGGUAAUGGGUAAAGAAGCACCGGCUAACUACGUGCCAGCAGCCGCGGUGAUACGUAGGGUGCGAGCGUUGUCCGGAUUUAUUGGGCGUAAAGGGCUCGUAGGUGGUUGAUCGCGUCGGAAGUGUAAUCUUGGGGCUUAACCCUGAGCGUGCUUUCGAUACGGGUUGACUUGAGGAAGGUAGGGGAGAAUGGAAUUCCUGGUGGAGCGGUGGAAUGCGCAGAUAUCAGGAGGAACACCAGUGGCGAAGGCGGUUCUCUGGGCCUUUCCUGACGCUGAGGAGCGAAAGCGUGGGGAGCGAACAGGCUUAGAUACCCUGGUAGUCCACGCUGUAAACGGUGGGUACUAGGUGUGGGGUCCAUUCCACGGGUUCCGUGCCGUAGCUAACGCUUUAAGUACCCCGCCUGGGGAGUACGGCCGCAAGGCUAAAACUCAAAGGAAUUGACGGGGCCCCGCACAAGCGGCGGAGCAUGCGGAUUAAUUCGAUGCAACGCGUAGAACCUUACCUGGGUUUGACAUGGAUCGGGAGUGCUCAGAGAUGGGUGUGCCUCUUUUGGGGUCGGUUCACAGGUGGUGCAUGGCUGUCGUCAGCUCGUGUCGUGAGAUGUUGGGUUAAGUCCCGCAACGAGCGCAACCCUUGUUCACUGUUGCCAGCACGUUAUGGUGGGGACUCAGUGGAGACCGCCGGGGUCAACUCGGAGGAAGGUGGGGAUGACGUCAAGUCAUCAUGCCCCUUAUGUCCAGGGCUUCACGCAUGCUACAAUGGCUGGUACAGAGAGUGGCGAGCCUGUGAGGGUGAGCGAAUCUCGGAAAGCCGGUCUCAGUUCGGAUUGGGGUCUGCAACUCGACCUCAUGAAGUCGGAGUCGCUAGUAAUCGCAGAUCAGCAACGCUGCGGUGAAUACGUUCCCGGG
rnacentral:rRNA from 1 species